rnacentral:rRNA from 1 species
AUUGAACGCUGGCGGCAUGCCUUACACAUGCAAGUCGAACGGCAGCACGGGAGCAAUCCUGGUGGCGAGUGGCGAACGGGUGAGUAAUGUAUCGGAACGUGCCCAGUCGUGGGGGAUAACGUAGCGAAAGCUACGCUAAUACCGCAUACGAUCUAUGGAUGAAAGCGGGGGAUCGCAAGACCUCGCGCGGUUGGAGCGGCCGAUAUCAGAUUAGGUAGUUGGUGGGGUCAAGGCCCACCAAGCCUGCGAUCUGUAGCUGGUCUGAGAGGACGACCAGCCACACUGGAACUGAGACACGGUCCAGACUCCUACGGGAGGCAGCAGUGGGGAAUUUUGGACAAUGGGCGCAAGCCUGAUCCAGCAAUGCCGCGUGCAGGAUGAAGGCCUUCGGGUUGUAAACUGCUUUUGUACGGAACGAAACGGCUUUUUCUAAUACAGAGAGCUAAUGACGGUACCGUAAGAAUAAGCACCGGCUAACUACGUGCCAGCCGCCGCCGUAA